CAGGGCCCGAGGGAAGAGGCCAGGCCCUGGUGGGGCGGCCGAGUCUCUACGCUUGGGGCGGCCUCGGGGCCUGUUUUUUUACCCCCCGUCAGCUGUGGUGGGGGAGGGGCGGCGGGCUGGGGGUCGGGAGGAAUUCUUAAGGGGGAACAAUGGGGCGAAGGGUGGGCGGUCGCCCGAGAUCUGUCGAAGAGGCUGGAACGGGGCCGCGGGCAAGGUUUCCUCCUUCUGGGUUUGGCUUUCUCUUCGUGGUCUUAUUGAAAGCCCGACACAGUUUGGCGGAGAUGUGAGAGUAGCGAACUGUCGGAUCUUGCCGAACCCGAAAGAUACUGGCGAGGCCCAUUCUUUUUUUGUGACGGCUGACAGUUUCAGAGGGAGAAGAAAGGUAGAAUUAUAUACGCUAUAAGCACUUUCAUAUAUUUACUAUAUUAGGGAAGCAUUUCUCUCCUUUACUCCCCAGAAAUGAUUGAUAGAAAAUGGAAGAAGAAAAGUAACUUUGUGCAUUUGUGCAGGGAAUAGAAGUCAUGAUUUGAAAUUAUUCAUUCAUGUUAAAUGUUUUAUUACUCAGGUUUGCUGUUCUUGUUUUGCACUUUAACUUAGGAUAAUUAGGUUUCCUUGAUUAAAAACAGGUUAGUCACAAGGUCACCUUUUAUGGUAACUCAUCAAAGGAAGUAUAACCUUAUGGAGAAUAUGUGUAUGGAUAGUGAAAUAGGUGAUUUGGGGGUUUGAUCAUUCUUAGAUUUUUAUAUCUAGCUUUAUGAGUGAUAGCAUAUAUAAUAGAUCACUCUUAAUGUGUCUGCCCCUAUCCUAGUUUAGAAUUACCAAUUAAUGAUUGUUUUUUCCAUAUUAAUUUUCUUUGACAGGCAUGUGUUCUUCCUUUUCCUUUAUAUGGCUUAGUAAAAUUCAUGCUUUCUUGAGUCAGUGACCAUUUUAAAAUGUUGUUGAAAGAUAGCAGUUAGCUAUUGAAUCUGGUUUGCCAAAUUACUGUUGGAGAAGUUUUAAAUUUUAUUUGUACACACUUUCCUAAAAGUUAAAGUAAUUUUAAAAGGUGUUUGAAGUUGCAGCUUAUGUUAACUAAUUAAAAUUUUUUUUUCUUUUUGACCGUGCUGUGAGGCAUGCGGGAUCUUAGUUCCCCGACCAGGGGUGGAACCCACGUCCCUUGUGUUGGAAGCAUGGAGUCUUAACCACUGGACCGCCAGGGAAUUCCCUAAUUAAAAAAUUUAAAAUCGGGCUUCCCUGGUGGCGCAGUGGUUGAGAGUCCGCCUGCCGAUGCAGGGGACACGGGUUCGUGACCCGGUCCUGGAAGAUCCCACAUGCCGCGGAGAGGCUAGGCCCCUGAGCCAUGGCCGCUGAGCCUGCGCGUCCGGAGCCUGUGCUCCUUAACCGGAGAGGACACAACAGUGAGAGGCCCGCGUACCGCAAAAAAAAAAAAAAAAUUUAAAAUCAACACAAUGUAUCAAAUGUAACAUCACUUAAACUAUAGAUUCACAGAAAUUUUGUAGUUUUACAGAAAAAAAUCUUGUAAAUGAUAUUAUUGAGCUUAAAUUCAAAGAUGACCAGUUUUCACCUUAGAUUUCUCAUGUAGUCCGUCAUUAUCCUGUUUUAAGUCUGAUCUCCAUAUCUGUGGUGAGAUGUAAUUUUGGUAAAUGACUGCCCAAAUUUUGUUUAUAUUUGAAACAAUAUGUUCUGUAGAGGAAAUACUAAUUCUCCUCUCUUUGAACUUGCAAGUUCUUGCCCGUUGAAAAGCUGAGAAAGUAUUGCUUUCGAAAAGAUUGCUAAUACAUACCAAUGUAGUUUUGUGUUGUCUUUCAUGUGACAGUGGCUUUUUGGGACCAGAGAGGUUUUGGAGGAAAGGAUCUUUUCCCAAUUUGAAAAAUACUAACAAUAUUUUAAAGUGAGUGGUAUCUCAUACUUUUUUCCUAGCAUAUUUUAUAAAUACAUUUACUAUUUAAUUUUAAAUUUUUGGUCCUGAUUCUAAAAAUAAUGUCCUUAUUAAAUUUAGAAAACAUGAAAAACAAUAAAGUGAUAAUUUCUUAUCAUUCCACCAUUCCACUUUUAAUAUUUGUUAUAUUUACUCUCAGCCUUUAAGAGGAGGUUUUUGUUUCUCCAAAAUUGUAGUCCUUUUGACUUAGUUUAUUAUGACCAUCUUCUUAGGUCAUUAGUUGAAAACAUAAUUGCCAGCCUUUAAAAAAGGGGGGGGCGUGUCUUCUGAUUAGUUAUGUGAUAUAGGUAAACAGUAGAAAAGGCAAAAAUCCUUAGCUUCAUGCCAUUAGAAGUUGAUACAACCACCCUUAGGUGUACCCUCCUGCAUUAUUAUAAAGUAUGACUAUCAGAGGCUGAUAAUUUGCUGUUAAUUAACACGUUGAUGAAAGUGCUGAUACUCCUGACCUGUUAGGUAGAAGCAAAACUCAAGGUCAUUAUAGUUUUUCUGUACAUCUGGUAGCCUCAGUUUCAGUUUUGAUGGUCAAACCUCUGAGGAAUUAGAUAAAAUAUUAAGAUAGUGUGUGUCAACCAAAAAACCCUAAGGGCAGGAUGGCAAUAUAUGAAUACUAUUUGAGAGCUCUGGCAUCAGACUUAGGAUUGUUUCUUUUUAAUUAAAAAAAAAUUGUGAUGUAAUUCACAUACUAUUCCUUAAAAGUGUACAGUUCAGUGGUUUUUAGUAUAUUCAUAAAGUUGUGUAACCAUUACCACUGUCCCCCUCCCCGGUACCGCACAGCUUGCGGGACUGGGGAUCUACCUGGACCACGGGGCAGUGAAAGCCCGUAAUCCUAACCACUAGGCUACCAGGGAACUCCCACCACUGUCUUAAUUCUAGAACAUUUUCAUCAGCCCAGAAAGAAACCCCACACAAGAUAGCAGUCACUCCCCUCCUCACCCCUCCCUCUUGCAACCACUCUUCUGCUUUCUGUUUCUAUGGGCUUGUUUAUUCAGGAUAUUUCAUAUAACAGAAUCAUACAAUAUGUGGCCUUUAGUGUCUGGCUUCUUUCACUUAGCGUGUUUUCACGAUUCAUCCAUAUUAUAACAUGUAUCAGUACUUCAUUCCUUUUUACGGCUGAAUAGUAAUUCUGUUGUAUGGAUAUAUUCCACAUUUUGUUUAUCAUUCAUCAGUUGAUGGAAAUGUAGUUGUUUCCACUUUUUGGUUCUUAUGAAUUAUGCUGCUGUGAACAUUCAUGAAAAGUUUUUGUGUGGGCAUAUGUUUUUAAUUUUCUUGGGUAGAUAAGCUAGGAAUAGGGUUGUUGGGUCGUUGUUAACUAUGUUUAACAUAUUGAGGAACUGACAAACUUUUUCAAAGCAGCUACACCAUUUUCCAUUCCCACAGCUAUAUAUGUAUCUAAUUUCUCCAAAAGACCUAGGGUUUUAAAAUCUGUUUUACUACUCCUGUGAUUCUGGGGAUGUUUCUGAAUCUCAGAUGUUGCAUCUGAAAAAUGGAGAGUUAUUGUGAGAAUUAAAUUACAAAAUGUAUGGAAUCACCUAGUAUUGUGUUUGGAACACAAUAAGCACUCAAUUUUUAAUUAUUGAAAAAUUAUGAAGUUUUUUUCAAGCUUCCUUAUAGAAAAUUUGAGAGAUAAAACAUGAAGAAAAAUAUCCUAACUGAAACUUAACUGAAAAUAUACUGUUUUAUUCUCAGUCGUUUUCUUUUCUGCGUUUGGUUGUUUCUCCAAGUUGAGAUAAUUGGAAUCUAAUUUUAAAACUUAAAAUAUAAGUAUUUCUUGCUGCCUUAAUUUGGUAGACAUACUUUUUAAUGAUUGGCAAAGAUUUUGGGGAAAGUUUUGCUGCUUUUAACACUCUGGUUAAAGUGCAGGUCCAGUCAAGGAGAACAAGUAAUUCCAGUAUAUCUUUCAAAACAGUGACUUGUUUAUGAGGGUGAGAGGGAGGGGAGGACGUUACUGGACUGUACAGAUUAGAGUCUUAUCUUGGCUAGUUGAGAAUUGGUUAUAGUUUCAUUUUGUGGAGAAAUUUCAUUGCCAAAUAUUGCAACAGUAAGGAAAUACAUACUUAAGAAAUCACUAAAUGGGCACAGAAUUGUUAGACCAACAUAUUUUUGAGUGAGGAACUAUAUAAUGAGUGAUGAUAUACAUUAAUUUGUGCAUCUUAAAUCUCACAAUAGAAAUACCUUUAAAAAAACCUUCUGGUUUGCAUUUAUACAACACUAUUUAAUUAAUUUAUUUAUAUAUUUAUGGCUACGUUGGGUCUUUGUUGCUGCUCACGGGCUUUCUCUAGUUGCGGCGAGCGGGGGCUGCUCUUUGUUGCGGUGCGCUGGCUUCUCAUGGUGGUGGCUUCUCUUGUGGAAUGCGGGCUUCAGUGGUUGUGACUCGCAGGCUAAGUAGUUGUGGUGCAGGGGCUCAGUUGCUCCGCGGCAUGUGGGCUCUUCCUAGACCAGGGCUCAAACCUCUGUCCCCUGCAUUGGCAGGCGGAUUCUUAACCACUGCGCCACCAGGGAAGCCCUACGUUUUUUUUAAACUAAGGUCUGAGGUCAAGUUGGACCACCAGUGAGGACUGGUGUGUACCUUAGUUCUCAAAACUUAACACAAGUGUUUUUUGUAAUCAUUAUUUCAGUUUCAGUUCUUCCUACCUGGGCUAAUGGCAUUUGGACUUAGCUAAAGGUGAAUUUUGCUUUAUUUUAAAAUUUGAUCAAAAUCUCCUGAGGAGGACUUAGGCUCUAAGGGACUUAGCUUUUUCUAACAAUGAAAAUAUCCUGUUGUUCACCUCCUCAUUUUCUAUAUUUUUAUUAAAGAUGCCAAACUCUAAGGUAGCUGCUUUUGUUUCUUUGUAUAUUUUUAGAAUUAUGUUUUCUGAUAUGUUUGCUCUUCUGUUCUAUAGUUAAAACAUAAAACAGUUCCUGUUAACAGUCGGUUUUUCUUAUGCCCGUGAGUGAGGGGGCUACUCGUUCUGACUAGGAAGUGUCAUAGUAUUUUGGACAGAAUAAACAAUCUCGGUAUGAAGAAGUGGGGAACAGAGUUUGAUCAGAGGAUAGAGGAGUAAGAAAGCAUAAAAUGCCUGAGUCUCGAGGGAGAUUUUUUUUUUUAAGCAAGGGUUUCCUGUGCUAAGUCAUGCUCUGAUAUAAAUACUAAACAACAACAACAAAACUAUCCUUAAAAAACAAAGAAA